CUCAGGAGCACAGGCACCCUCAACCUGUCACUGGGCCAUGCACCCCAGGGCCCAGGCAGAGCUGCCACCUUGCUGUCUCCAAGCUGACCUUGACUGGCGCUGGCUCUGGAGCCUGCUGCAGUCCCCAUCCUGUCCUACCUGCCCAGUGUGAGCCCAUUCCACAUACUGCUCUUGUUGGCAGGGUGGGCUGUGGUCCUCCUGGGAGGGACCUGGGAGCUUCAAGACAGGCUAGGGCAGGCUGAAUCUAGAGGAGGGGAGGGAGGGAGGAAUCAAGGUAUAAGAAAAAAACUGCUUCUCUCCACUCUCACACCACUCACCUCCGGUCACCAAAUAAAGUGGGGAUGUUUCUCCCCACCAACAAAAUCUAUAAAUGGAAAGGUUUUCCCUGAGUUCUGCGAGCCAUCCUUGCAAAUUAGUUAAACCUGAGGAGGGAAACACGGUUACUGGUUUAUUAUACAGGAUCUUAUCAGGGAUAUGGAGGAACAGCCAGGUGAGGAGAGGCACAGGGCAGGGCUUGUGGGAAAGGGUGGGCACCUCCACGCCCUUUCUGGGGCACUGCCCUUCAGGGGCCUCUGCAUGGUCCGUCCUCCAGAAGCUUCAAACCCUAACCUUUUCGGUUUCUAUGGAGGCUUCGUUAUGAAGGGCAUGAUCGAUUAUAUCAUUGGCUGUUGGUGAUUAACUCAACCUUCAGCCUCUCCGCCCUUGUAGGUCAGUGUGUGGGACUGAAAGUUCCAACCCUUUAAUCACAGGGUUGGUUCCCCUGGCAACCAGCCCCAUCCUGAAGCUAUCCAGGAGCUCAAGAGUCACCUCGUUCCACAAAGGAUGCUCCUAUCACCCAGGAAAUCCCAGGGGAUUUAGGAUCUCUGUAUCAGAUGCUGCUGUCACUCAGAAAGAUACAAAGGUCUUAGGAGCUCUGCCUCAGGAACCAGGGGGCAGAGUCCAAAUAUGUAUUUCCGACGAUAUCACAGUAUCACACAAGGUAGUCCUGGCCCAGAGCCUGCUAAGUGCCAGGCAAUAGGACACACAUUCUCUCCCACAGUCCUUCCCACAAACUCGGGAGACAGGUAUAACUCUCCCCAUUUUACUAAAUGAGGAACUGAGCUCAGAAGUUCUGUGCUUUAUGCCAAGUCUCAGCACUGGCCCGUGGUGGAGCUGGGGCUGUACCCUUCCCCUGCUCUUGCUGGUCCCUGAGCAGCUGCCUGCAGCCCUCCGGAGACAAGGGGUCUCUGGAAGAGGGUGGCCGCAGUCUGGCAGUCUACCUUUCUGUCUGAGGGGGCUUGGUUCCUGAUUUUCUUCUCUUCUUUCCUUGGCUUGUCUAACUCGCAGGUUUUGGGGGCUUCUGGGUAAUGAUGGGUCUGAGUACCACGUUUACCCCAUGCCCCUGCUGAGUGAAGCUGUGAAUGCCCCAGGGCUAGGGGGCAGGAGACCGGAGUACAGUCUGGAAUCUUGAAUUUAUUUGUUAAGCGGCUUCAGAUAGACCGUUCCCUUCUCUGGGAUUCAUGUACACAUCUGUGCAAGGAGAGGCUCAGGAACUUCAGAAGUCCUUGUACCACACAGUGGAUGUGACAGUCCCAUGGCCCACCCAGGACUAAAAGGCUUUUGGUUUUUAAUCUUUUUUUCCUCGAAUUUUUUUAUUAUGUUAAAAUAUACAUGACAUAAAAUUUACCACCUUAACCUUUUUUUUUUUUUUUUUUGAGACAGUGUUUUACUCUUGUUGCCCAGGCUGGAGUGCAAUGGUGUGAUCUUGGCUCACCACAACCUCUGCCUCCCAGGUUUAAGUGAUUCUCCUGCCUCAGCCUCCCAAGUAGCUGGGAUUACAGGCAUGCACCACCAUGCCCGGCUAAUUUUGUAUUUUUAGUAGAGAUGUGGUUUCUCUAUGUUGGUCAGGCUGGUCUUGAACUCCGGACCUCAGGUGAUCCGCCCAUCUCGGCCUCCCAAAGUACUGGGAUUACAGGCGUGAGCCACCACGCCCGGCCGGCCUUAACCAUUUUUUAAGGGUACAGUUUAGUUGUAUUAAAUACAUCCUUCAUGUGCAACCCUCACCAUCCUCCCACUCCAGAACUCUUAGUUGUUGUAAAACUGGAACUCUGUACCCAUUAAACAACAGCAACCACUGUUCUACUGCCUGUCUCUAUGAUUUUGACUACUCUAGGUACCACAUAUAAGUGGAAUCCUAGAGUACUUAUGUUUUUGCUGCCACGGGGUUUUAUUUAUUUUCUUUUCUCCACCCCCAGAAUCCCCACAUUCUGCUCCUGGCUGGUUUUGCUUCUCCUGGGUCGUGGGGUGCUAUUUGCAUGUGGGUGAGGAGCCCUCUCCCCAUCCAUCCUGCUUGUGUUUUCCUCCUGGGUACUAACUGGCCUCUACCUUUGUCUCUGUCUCCUCUGCCUCUGCUCUUGGUUAGCUGACGGUAGGGAAAGUGUCCAGCGGAAUAGGGGCUGCAGCUGAAGUCCUGGUCAAUCUGUACAUGAAUGAUCACAGACCUAAGGCCCAGGCCACCUCUCCAGACCUGGUAAGGACAUGCACCCCCAGCCUUCACCCACAGACACUGGCUCUGGCGUCCCAGGGCAGGCACAUGGGAUGUGGAGAGGAUGCCCUGGCCCUCCCGAGGCGCCUCUUCUCUUGGAACAAGAGGGGGCUGAGAAUGAGCUGAAUCAGGGCAGAAGUUAAAGGGAGCCUGCAUUUCCUUAAAGACAGAUCUCACUCAGGUCCCCUGCGGUCUUUUUGAAAAUAGAGAUCUUCCUGCUGUCUGUGGCUUUGGAGAACGGCCUGGUAGAAAGGCCCAGGUGAGGCCGUGAGUGUAAUUGAAUGGCCCUCACUUUCAAUGUUUAGUGUCCAACCUGAACAGACUGUGCAUUGGAUUGAGAAAAAAGUCAUGGGGAAAAUAUCCCUUUGAUUUGAAUUCUCUCUUUCUCUAAACUAGGCUGCUCGCUGCCAUCACCAGGAAUUUUAGUUGACCAUUCUUUGUUUGCUUUUGGCACAUUGCCCUGGAAUCGCCCAGGGGUACUGCUGCCCUGGCCCGUGCCCUCCCAAUUCACAAUUAGGACUAUAACUGACCAGAUUUGAUGCCACAAGCUUUCCCCACCCAACCUGUGCUACUGCAGGGGAACAGGACACCUAAAACAUCCUCAGCGGGCCAGUUUCAGGACCUUUGUCCAGAACCAGGUGACACUUAAUCCCAAGGACAGAUCCUGGAAAGAAUAUCAUGGGGUAGACAGGUUUGUGAGUAAAACCCACUCCGUCAGACCAGGAUCACUCCCACCCCAAAACCAGAGCAGCCAAUCUAGGGAAGAGCCCCUCCCAGGCCCACCUUGUUGUCUCUGGCCUGCCUGGGAGUACAGUUCACAGCAGCCCCUGCAGGGUUGGGGUCUGGGUUGGGGGCGUAUCUUCGUACCCCUCCCUCUUUGCUGCAGUGGCAGGAACAGGAAGCAGAAGCCCACGAGGUCCCCAGCAUUCAGUGUGGAAUUUCUAAAAGCCUUGGCCUGGCAUUUGAAGGCUCGGGAUAAGCCCUAAUACACCCACUCUUCUCUCCCGAUCCCCAGGAAUCUAUGCGAAAGUCAUUUCCCCUUAACCUGGGAGGCAGCGACAUGUGUUACUUCUGUAAGAAGCGUGUGUAUGUGAUGGAACGGCUGAGCGCUGAGGGCCACUUCUUCCACCGGGAGUGUUUCCGCUGCAGCGUCUGUGCCACCACCUUGCGCCUGGCCGCCUACACCUUUGACUGCGAUGAAGGCAAAUUUUACUGCAAGCCUCACUUCAUUCACUGUAAAACCAAUAGCAAACAACGGAAGAGACGGGCAGAGUUGAAGCAACAAAGAGAGGAGGAGGCGACAUGGCAAGAGCAGGAAGCCCCUCGGAGAGACACUCCCACUGAAAGUUCUUGCGCAGUGGCCGCCAUUGGCACCCCGGAAGGCAGCCCCCCAGUUCAUUUCAGCCUUCCAGUGCUACACCCACUUCUUGGCUGACACACUUCUGCUCUAAGGUGACUGGUUUUCUUGCCAAUUUUCAAAGAGUGGUACUAACCCCCAACCUGCUUUCCGCACCCCGUCCUCUCCGCCAGCGGUACUGGUUGCGCUAACUGUGAGUGUCUUGCGUACUGAUGGACUCAUUUGGUGGCAUGGUUGGCUAACAGCAUGGGGUGGGUGUUCAGCUUGAGACCCAUGUCUGUGUUCAUUUCCCGUGGAGCUGGCAGCCUGGUCUACCCCAAGUGCAUGCCCCGUGUCUCCUCUCUCCCUUGGGUCUGCCUGCUUGCAUGCUUCUCCAGUUGCACCUUCGAAGCCACCUACUUUCUUGGGAGGGUCGACCUUGAUCAUGAGGCAGUACCAUGAGGGGGCCUCUGUCACCUUUGAAAAGAACACUUUUUGAGCAGCCUCAAAAAGCUCAUACAUACCAGCGACUUCUUAAAUUGGCUCUAAUGUAAAGAUUGUUAAUGUCAUUUAUCAAAACCAUAGGUGAUUAUUUGGAGGGAUUUAAAAAACAUAAUUACUCUCAGGCCUCAUCCCAAGCUUGACACAUGCUCUGUAGGUUGAACACAUAAUCACAAAUAUUCUAGCAAAUCCUGCAUUGGUUGCAGCCUGCACUGUAGACCCAAGGGUUUUGCUGUGGCUCUUCUUAUAUCCCUUGGCUCAUAAAGCCCCAGAUGAUGCCAGAGCUUCGGUUAGAGCCAUCAUCAUCCCAGGCAGGGGUAUCUUUGAGAAAUGACUCAGUUCAGCCCCAGGCCCCUGUGACUCUUCUUAAGGCACACAUUUCUGCUGACUCUCGUACCUGGGGCAGCAGGAUAAUCACCAACAUGCUCUUAAUGAGAAACAACACACCAAGCACAGUGGAGCUGUCCUAGGCAACCCUCGCGGUCUCAGGCUGCAGUGGGUGUCCGUCCUGCAUGCGGCCCAGACCACCCUGACCCCUGGGCCUGCCUGCCUGGCCCUGCAUGCUGCACGCUCACUGCGUUUGUGCAGAUCCUGGCCAGUACGAAGUUGUUGCUCUUGUCUUAUCUUCUCUUACAGAGUCUCCCUCCCUUUAUAGAAUGUCAACCAAAGAGUGCCCUCCUCCCCUCUCAGCCUCCUCUUUAGCUAGCCUCCCCAUCUCAUCACAAAGCAUGUCUGUGACCUUUGGUAAUCAUUUACAGUGCCACAUGGAACCCUGUAUUUUGCACACAGCAAAACAAACAAUGUUUAGCUUUAUUUAUGGUAUUUGAUGCUGUAAAUGGAAAUAAAUAUUGUUCUUUAU
rnacentral:sRNA from 1 species